UACGUAGGGGGCAAGCGUUGUCCGGAUUUAUUGGGCGUAAAGAGCGUGUAGGCGGCCAGAUAGGUCAGCUGUGAAAACUCGAGGCUCAACCUCGAGAUGUCGGCUGAAACCAUCUGGCUAGAGUCCGGAAGAGGAGAAUGGAAUUCCCGGUGUAGCGGUGAAAUGCGCAGAUAUCGGGAAGAACACCCGUGGCGAAGGCGGUUCUCUGGGACGGUACUGACGCUGAGACGCGAAAGCUAGGGGAGCGAACGGG
rnacentral:rRNA from 1 species